AACGAACGCUGGCGGCAUGCCUAACACAUGCAAGUCGAACGAGACCUUCGGGUCUAGUGGCGCACGUGUGCGUAACGCGUGGGAACCUGCCCUUAGGUUCGGAAUAACUCCCCGAAAGGGGUGCUAAUACCGGAUAAUGUCUUCGGACCAAAGAUUUAUCGCCUUUGGAUGGGCCCGCGUUGGAUUAGCUAGUUGGUAGGGUAAAAGCCUACCAAGGCGACGAUCCAUAGCUGGUCUGAGAGGAGGAUCAGCCACACUGGGACUGAGACACGGCCCAGACUCCUACGGGAGGCAGCAGUGGGGAAUAUUGGACAAUGGGCGAAAGCCUGAUCAAGCAAUGCCGCGUGAGUGAUGAAGGCCUUAGGGUUGUAAAGCUCUUUUACCCGGGAUGAUAAUGACAGUACCGGGAGAAUAAGCUCCGGCUAACUCCGUG
rnacentral:rRNA from 1 species